AGAUACAGAGAGAAAGCAGUGGAGUCAGAGUGGUGGCUCUAACUGGGGAUCAAGAGCAGGGUCCACAUGUACCAUCAGGUCCACAUACACAGGGGACAGUGGAGUGUACUGGUGUGAGUCUGGAUCAGGAGAGUACAGUAAUGCUGUCAACAUUACAGUGGGACGUUGGCACUCUGAUCCUGGAGAGCCCUCCCUAUCCCAUAACUGAGGGAGAAUCUAUGACUCUCAGCUGUACAAAUAGAUAUCAGGAAACAAACCCGAACCCCAAGGUUGAUUUCUACAAAGAUGGAAUAUUCAUCAGGAAUGAACCACAGGAGAGAUGACCAUCCCUGCAGUAUUCCAGUCAGAUGAAGGCUUCUAUAAGUGUAAAUCUAAUGAAGGAGAAUCACCAGAGGAGCUGGGUGACAGUGAGAGGUUCCAUUGUCUCCAUCUCUGUGCUGCCCAGGCUGCUGUGUGGUUUACUGGUUGCGUCUCCCUUUCUACUGGUGUCUAUCGUGCUCAUGGUGAAAUGCUGCAGGGCUCGAGGCCUGUGUUCAACAGCCAAACUUCUUCAAUACGAGUUACCAUCUGAUGAUGUCAUCAAACAGACUGAAUCAUCCGUGUGAUCAAUACAGUAAGAAUUAUAAACUGAAGACCCAUUUUUUGGAUGUUUAUGUUUCUGCCAUUGUCUUGACAUUGAUUUAUGAUAGUGUUUACUGAGUCAAAUAUCUCUGAAUUGAAUUUUACAAAUACUAAAUGUUAUGGUUUAGCAAGUUGACAUUUUCAGCUUUUGGAGGCUUGUUUGCUUUGCUAUGUUAUUGUUGAUUGUUGUUAAUUUUCUUGAAAUAUUAUACUUACCCCUUUGACUUCAGUUUGUUGAUUAAACAAUAGUGUAGUGCCUGUUUUGUUUAAAAGUUGAAUUUGUAUUUUUUUCUAUUUUGUUUUUUACAUAAUGUCAAUAUUUUUAUAUACAUUUACUUCUUUUUUUAAAGAAAAAAAGUGGGUUUAUACUUGGUUGGCCGACCUGCUAAUACAACUUUAACAGUUCAUUUGGCAGAUUUGUUGUUUGUUUUGAAUUAAAUUAUUAAUUGAAUUAACGCUUAUUUGUAUAUACAUUUUACAUAAUUUUCACUUCUAUGUCUCUAUGUUUUUUGUAAAAUUGUAUUUUUACAGUAGUUAUAGGAGCCAGAUUAGUAUUCCACUAUGGAACUUGAAUGAAGAGGGUGUUUAUUGUCUUAUGUCAGAUAGCGCAAUGAUUCCGCAUGACGACGAUUAAAUAGGAGUGACGCCAACUGACGUAAGACAAUGGAGGGUGUGUUGUAUUUUG